rnacentral:rRNA from 1 species
UGGCGCACGGGUGCGUAACGCGUGGGAAUCUGCCCCUGGGUUCGGAAUAACAGCGAGAAAUUGCUGCUAAUACCGGAUGAUGACGAAAGUCCAAAGAUUUAUCGCCCAGGGAUGAGCCCGCGUAGGAUUAGCUAGUUGGUGAGGUAAGAGCUCACCAAGGCGACGAUCCUUAGCUGGUCUGAGAGAAUGAUCAGCCACACUGGGACUGAGACACGGCCCAGACUCCUACGGGAGGCAGCAGCC